ensembl:lncRNA
UCCCUCUCCCUUUUACAUCAGUUCAAACUCUGUGUGUUUGAGAGUGAUUUGUGAGCAAUCGGAGCCACUGCUUUGCAGCGCAGUCCGUGGGGUAUAUCCACAUUCACCCCUUGGAGUGAUUUGUUUGGCCAAAGAGCUUCCAUCGCCCCACUGCUUCGGAAGGGCAAAGGGAUCCCAUCAGACCCGGCCCCGAAAUACGCUCCAUUUCCAUUCAGGAUCCUUAGAAUUGGAAACAGCACAACAACCUGAGCCCCCAAAGCUGAGGGACCCUACGGCAGAAUGCUUGGAACACCCCUCAUGCUUUGCAGUGAUGCAAAACCCAAAGGACCAAUGCAGCAAACCGUCCCGUUAGCAAAGCAGUGAUGCAGAACCCAAAGCCCAGGGCAGCAAACCCACCCCACUGUCUUUGCAAUGGUGCAAAACCCAAAGGCCCAACCCACACAUGUCCUACAGGUGCACCGGGUGCAGCAAACACACCCCACUGGCACUGCAACAGUGCAAAACCAAAGGGCCAAUGCAGCAAACCCACCCCACUGGCUUUGUGAUGACCCAUAACCCAAAGGACCAACGCAACAAACCCACCCCAGUGCCUUUGCAAUGGUGCAAAAUAGAGGGCUGACCCACAACGUGUCCUACAGCUGCACCAGGCGCAGCAAACCCAAACCAUUGCAUUUGCAAUGGUGCAAUACCCAAAGAGCUGACCCACAUAUAUCCUACAGACGCACCGGGUGCAGGAAACCCACCUCACUGACUGUGCAAUGGUGCAAAACCCAAAGGGUCAAUGCAACAAACCCACCCCACUGGCUUUGCAAUGGUGCAAAACCCAAAGGAACGACCCACAGGUGUCCUACAGCCACACUGGGUGCAGCAAACACACCCCACUGCUGUUGCAGUGCUGCAGAAUAUCAAAGGCCAAUGCAACAAACCCACCCCAUUGGCUUUGCAGUGGUGCAACACCCAAAGGCCCAACCCACACAUGUCCUACAGGUGCACCGGGUGCAGCAAACACACUCCACUGGCACUGCAAUGGUGCAAAACCCAAAGGGUCGAUGCCACAAACCCACCCCAUUGCCUUUGCAAUAGUGCAAUACCCGAAGAGUUGACCCACAUAAAUCCCACAGCCACACCGGGUGCAACAAACCCACCCCAGUGCCUUUGCAAUGGUGCAAAAUACAGAGGGCUGACCCACAACGUGUCCUACAGCUGCACCAGGCACAACAAACCCACCGCAUUGCCUUUGCAAUGGUGCAACACCCAAAGGAACGACCCACAGGUGUCCUACAGCCACACUGGGUGCAGCAAACACACCCCACUGACGUUGCAAUGACACAGAACCCAAAGGGCCGAUGCAACAAACCCACCCCA